UGGGGAAUAUUGCACAAUGGGCGCAAGCCUGAUGCAGCGACGCCGCGUGAGGGACGAAGGCCUUCGGGUUGUAAACCUCUUUCGCCAGUGAAGCAGGCCGCUUCCUUGUGGGGUGGUUGACGGUAGCUGGGGUAAGAAGCGCCGGCUAACUACGUGCC
rnacentral:rRNA from 1 species